UUGUACCCUACAAAUAAGAGGUCCUGCCUGCCCUGUGACACAUAGUUUAACGGCCGCGGUAUUUUAACCGUGCGAAGGUAGCGUAAUCACUUGUCUUUUAAAUGAGGACCAGUAUGAAUGGCAAAACGAGGGCUUAACUGUCUCCCCCCUCCAGUCAAUGAAAUUGAUCUCCCCGUGAAGAAGCGGGGAUACACCCAUAAGACGAGAAGACCCUAUGGAGCUUUAGACACUAAGGCAGCUUACGUUAAAAAUCCUGCACCAAGGCCCUAAACUAAAUAAUUCCUGACCUGACGUCUUCGGUUGGGGCGACCGCGGGGGAAAGAAAAACCCCCACGUGGACUGGGAGUACCUCUCCUAUCACCCCGAGCUACCGCUCUAAUGUAUCAGAACCCUUCUGACCAUAAAUGAUCCGGCGCAAGCCGAUUAACGAAACAAGUUACCCUAGGGAUAACAGCGCAAUCCCCUUUUAGAGACCCUAUCGACAAGGGAGUUUACGACCUCGAUGUUGGAUCAGGACAUCCUAAUGGUGCACCCGCUAUUAAGGGUUCGUUUGUUCAACGAUUAAAGUCCU
rnacentral:rRNA from 1 species